CUCCUCCCCCUCCUCCGCCAGGGAGGCCGAGAUCAUCGCCAGCGCCUCGGCCCUGUGGAACCUGGCCACAAGCCCGGCGGCGAGGGACGCCAUCGUGAAGGCGGGGACAGUGCCGCCGCUGCUCUUGCUGGCCGAUCC
rnacentral:ribozyme from 1 species